ensembl:lncRNA
UGAGGAAUGAAAGUGGUGCAGAUGUUGAACUUUUAUUUUCAUUUUAUUGUCAGAACAUCUGAUGUUGUUUAGAUGUAGGUGAUUUCUUAUUUAUUGAUCUUUGUGUCUUUUUAGGAUUCCUGUUGAUAUAGUUGAGCGAUGCAGUCCUGUAGCUCUGCUCACUGUGUCCUGAUCUUACUGAUCUUCACAUUCACUGCUGUGUAUGUGUCAGCUGUUCCCCCAGUGAAGGUGAAGCUUAAUGAGACGGCUACUCUGCCCUGCUAUGAGAGCUGUGCUGGUGUCGUCAGAUGGACUGUAUCCCAUAAACCCAGAGAUGUUCUAGCUGAGUGUGAUCAGACUUCAUGUAGAUCAGUGAAGGAGGGAUAUCAGAUGAUCCAUGAUCAGUACCUGAAGGGGAAUCUCUCUCUCAUCAUCACUAAUGCUGACCUCAGUAAGAGCAGUACAUACACGUGUGAGUGCGGCAAAUCAGAGAUCUGUGAUGUGUACCUUCAGGUUGAGGGUAGGUGUUUCUGUUUUCUUCACUGACUGUUAUUAACAGAACUUCAGUGAUUUAGAUGCAGUGCUAUAUUUAUAAUCUAAUAAAGUUCUUGUUUGCUGUUUUUUCUCUCUCACUGUUUCUGAAUUUUGGAUCCAGAGAAAGGAACUGAAAACAGCAGAAACAGUGAGGGAAUGUCCCAUGGUAAG